AAUGUACUCCCUCCGUCCCAUAUUAAGUGUCUCAAAUUUGUUCAAAUAUGGAUAUAUCUACACCUAAAAAGCGUCUAGAUACAUGUAAUAUUUCGACACUUAAUACGGGACGGAGGGAGUAGCAG
rnacentral:pre_miRNA from 1 species